rnacentral:rRNA from 1 species
CCUAUAAGACUGGGAUAACUUCGGGAAACCGGAGCUAAUACCGGAUAAGAUUUUGAACCGCAUGGUUCAAUAGUGAAAGACGGCCUUGCUGUCACUUAUAGAUGGAUCCGCGCCGUAUUAGCUAGUUGGUAAGGUAACGGCUUACCAAGGCAACGAUACGUAGCCGACCUGAGAGGGUGAUCGGCCACACUGGAACUGAGACACGGUCCAGACUCCUACGGGAGGCAGCAGUAGGGAAUCUUCCGCAAUGGGCGAAAGCCUGACGGAGCAACGCCGCGUGAGUGAUGAAGGUCUUCGGAUCGUAAAACUCUGUUAUCAGGGAAGAACAAACGUGUAAGUAACUGUGCACGUCUUGACGGUACCUGAUCAGAAAGCCACGGCUAACUACGUGCCAGCAGCCGCGGUAAUACGUAGGUGGCAAGCGUUAUCCGGAAUUAUUGGGCGUAAAGCGCGCGUAGGCGGUUUUUUAAGUCUGAUGUGAAAGCCCACGGCUCAACCGUGGAGGGUCAUUGGAAACUGGAAAACUUGAGUGCAGAAGAGGAAAGUGGAAUUCCAUGUGUAGCGGUGAAAUGCGCAGAGAUAUGGAGGAACACCAGUGGCGAAGGCGACUUUCUGGUCUGUAACUGACGCUGAUGUGCGAAAGCGUGGGGAUCAAACAGGAUUAGAUACCCUGGUAGUCCACGCCGUAAACGAUGAGUGCUAAGUGUUAGGGGGUUUCCGCCCCUUAGUGCUGCAGCUAACGCAUUAAGCACUCCGCCUGGGGGAGUACGACCGCAAGGUUGAAACUCAAA